rnacentral:rRNA from 1 species
UACAGAGGUCUCAAGCGUUGUUCGGAUUCAUUGGGCGUAAAGGGUGCGUAGGCGGCGCGGUAAGUCGGGUGUGAAAUCUCGGAGCUUAACUCCGAAACUGCAUUCGAUACUGGCGUGCUUGAGGACUGGAGAGGAGACUGGAAUUUACGGUGUAGCGGUGAAAUGCGUAGAUAUCGUAAGGAAGACCAGUGGCGAAGGCGGGUCUCUGGACAGUUCCUGACGCUGAGGCACGAAGGUCAGGGGAGCAAACGGG